AGCCCCCUGCUGAGCGACCUCGGAAGCAUUGUGCUGAGUGACAUAAGCCAGAAACAAAAGGACAAAUGUUGUAUGAUUCUACUUGCAUCAGAUAUCUAGAAGAGCCUAAUUCACAGACAGAAAGUACAUUCUAGGUUAAGAGAGGCUGGGGGUGGAGAGGAAUGGGUAGUUGUUAUUCAUGGAGACAGGGUUUCUGUUUGGAGUUGGGGAUGUAGCUGGUGGUGAUGGUGACACAACAUCGUGAAUGUAAUUAAUGCUGCUGAGCGGGACACUUACUUAAUUUUUUUAACUUAGCAAACCAAAUUCGACUAUUUAUUUAUUUAUUUUGAAACAGGGUCUCACUCUGUCACCCAGGCAAUGGCACGAUCUCGGCUCACUGCAGCCUCGACCUCCCGGGCUCAAGCCAUCCUCCCACCUUGGCCUCCCAAAGGGCUGGGAUUACAGGCAUGAGCCACCGUGCCUGGCCAAAUCCAACAAUUUAUUUUAAAAAGAUAAUACUGUACACCAUGAUCAAGUGGGAUAUUUCCCAGGACUGAAAGAUUGGUUUAACAGCCAGAACUCAAUUAAUGUAAUAAAUCAUAUUAAUAAAAUAAAGGACAAAAGCCACAUGAUCAUCCCAACUGAUAUAGAAAAUCCAUUUGACAAAAUCUGACACCCAUUUAUAAUUAAAAAAAAACUUUCAACAAACCAGAAAUGAGAGUGAACCUCCUCAACCUAGCAAUGGAAUCUAUGGAAACCUACAGCACGCUUCCUGGGGAAAGCCUGACCGUCUCGAAUCUAUGGAAACCUACAGCACGCUUCCUGGGGAAAGCCUGACCGUCUCCCCACGGAAGGGAGCAAGUCAAGGGGACCCUCCCCUCCCGCUCCUCCCACACUGCACAGCGGGUUCCAGCCAGGGCAGUGAGGCAAGAACAUGGAACUCAAAUCACCGAGAUUAGCAAAAAAGAUGUAGAAGUACGCCUCACGCCGUAGGUGGAAUCGCCUAAGGAAUCUACAAAGAUAAAAUAAAAUGAAGUAAAACCUGAUAAGAUGAUCGAAGGAGUUUAACAAGAUCAUGGGGCGUAGGAUAUUUCUGCACUGACAGUGAACACCCCAAGAUGAAAUGCAGAAAGCGUCCUGGUCAAAUAGCAUCAGAAAGAAUAAGCUACUUAGGAAUAAUUUCGCAAAGGAAGUGUGAGACUUGUACGCUGCAAACUGCGAAACAUGGCUGGUAAAAAGACCCAAAGAAAACCUGAACAGAUGGAGAGACUUCCCACAUCGAGGCUGAAAGGCUGAACCCUGCGCAGACGGCGGGGCUCCCGCGGUGCUCCGUGUGGCCUUCAUCCCCCUCUGGCCGUGUUCCCUCCCCGGCUCAGAGCCACUCCUCCUAGUUACCACCCUCGGCCCUCCCUCUGCAAGCCCAGGAUGCCCGGGCCACAGGCCGGUGAGCUGGGGAUCCAGCCUCUCCUGGCGUUUUACCCACGUAGGUGACAACUGACGGCACUGGAGCAGAGAGGCUGACUGCCCGAGGAGACCAGGGAGGCUUGGACCCCAGGCUGGAGGGGGCCGGGGACCCAGACCCACUCACUUGAUUUGGAAGGACACAGGGCUGUCAAACCUAUGCAGGGUCAUCACACCCGGCCCUUCGUUUGUCCCUUUUCGGCCAAGCUCAGGACCCUGUAACCCAGGAAGACAAGCUCGUGGUUCUGAGAUGACCCAGGGAAUUGGCCAAUCCCACCCGAAACCCUUGUUCCUUCCUCUGGUCAUUGACGUUCCUCCCAGACGGCUUCGAGAGCCCCGCAGAUCCUUCCACUACUCCCCAGCCUAGAAGAUCCAGAUUUCAUUUCUGAUUGCGGAAUUUUACUCUCAAACCAAAAGAUGCUACAUGCCGCUCCUGACGCCGUGGCACGGAAUCACGCUGCGCGUCCCUUGUUUCCGGAUUUCUCUUCUGUGGCUUAUUGAUGGCACUCAAGCACCGCACAGCAAUGACGUCUGUCCUGGCAGGGCACACGCACUCUGCGUCUGAAUGAGUAUUGAGCUAAUUCCAAAGCCCAGCAGAGACGUGGGCGCGCGUUUAUCUGGAGGAGACCAGGCGCGCCAUGGUUGGCUCUGGCCGCGGGACCCUGGGCUGAGCACCGACCCAGGCCACCCCAAGUCACCAAAA
rnacentral:lncRNA from 1 species